rnacentral:rRNA from 1 species
UGGGGAAUUUUGGACAAUGGGCGAAAGCCUGAUCCAGCAAUGCCGCGUGUGUGAAGAAGGCCUUCGGGUUGUAAAGCACUUUUGUCCGGAAAGAAAUCCUUGGCUCUAAUACAGUCGGGGGAUGACGGUACCGGAAGAAUAAGCACCGGCUAACUACGUGCCAGCAGCCGCGGUAAUACGUAGGGUGCAAGCGUUAAUCGGAAUUACUGGGCGUAAAGCGUGCGCAGGCGGUUUGCUAAGACCGAUGUGAAAUCCCCGGCGUCAACCUAGGCACUGGCAAUUGGUGAUGCUGGCAGGCUAGAGUAUGGCAGAGGGGGGUAGAAUUCCACGUGUAGCAGUGAAAUGCGUAGAGAUGUGGAGGAAUACCGAUGGCGAAGGCAGCCCCCUGGGCCAAUACUGACGCUCAUGCACGAAAGCGUGGGGAGCAAACAGGAUUAGAUACCCUGGUAGUCCACGCCCUAAACGAUGUCAACUAGUUGUUGGGGAUUCAUUUCCUUAGUAACGUAGCUAACGCGUGAAGUUGACCGCCUGGGGAGUACGGUCGCAAGAUU